UCCUAUCCUGAUUAUUGGUCA
ensembl:piRNA 21ur-2273 ncRNA